CCUACGGGUGGCCGCAGUGAGGAAUAUUGGUCAAUGGGCGCUAGCCUGAACCAGCCAAGUAGCGUGAAGGAUGACUGCCCUAUGGGUUGUAAACUUCUUUUAUAUGGGAAUAAAGUGCAGUAUGUAUACUGCUUUGCAUGUACCUUAUGAUUCAGGCUCGGCUAACUCCGUGCCAGCAGCCGCGGUAAUACGGAGGAUCCGAGCGUUAACCGGAUGUAUUGGGUUUAAAGGGAGCGAAGGCGGGUUGUUAAGUCAGAUGUGAAAGUUUGCGGUUCAACCGUGAAAUUGCAGUUGAUAAUGGCAUCCUUGAGUACAGUAGAGGUAGGCGGAAUUCGUGGUGUAGCGGUGAAAUGCUUAGAUAUCACGAAGAACUCCGAUUGCGAAGGCAGCCUGCUGGACUGUAACUGACGCUGAUGCUCGAAAGUGUGGGUAUCAAACAGGAUUAGAUACCCGGGUAGUC
rnacentral:rRNA from 1 species